rnacentral:rRNA from 1 species
AUGAACACAUUGGUUUACCAAUUAAUGCAUCCAUCUCAUUAUUCAGUUUUACCAGUUAAUUCAAACAAACAAGAAGUGAAGCUUAGUUGCGAGCACUUGAAUACAAGGAAGCCCAACUCUACUGCAAUCAUAAGGUCCACUAGAGCAUCAGAAAAAUGUAAUCAUCCAAGAGUUCUAGUACAGAGCAUGUAUAACACUGAAUUUGUUUCUUCGAACUUACCAGUUUUCAGGGUCAAAACUUAUCUCUGCGUUUUGCCUAUCCUACUGAGGGCUUGCAGAUGUCAGCUUGGAAAACAUACCCUCCUUUUAGCAUUCCCUUCAUUGUUUAUGGAAGAAUGCCAAGAGUUAUUGCAUGCCAACUCAUAUCAUAACAGCCAUAGAACUAUCGAGUGA